CAGAUUUCCAGGGAUAGGAGCAGUAUAAUUUAACGUGACCUAGAUUUUAUGAUAAUGAAUCCUAUUUGUUUGUUGCCAUUUCUCUAUGUGUAGGAGCUCUGCAUUUUGCUUUUGGCAACACAUUUACUGGGUGAUGAGAUGAGCCUCUUGAAUUGGUUGGGAUUUGCAGUCUGUAUCUCAGGAAUUGCUCUUCACGUUGCUCUGAAGACCAUCCACGGCAAAGGUAAUCUACAUGCUAGCAGAUUUAAAUACACCAUGAAAGAGAGUAUAGCGCUUCUUUUUUUCGGAAAGGGAUUUUGCAAUGCCAUUUAAAAAAAUAAAUAAAUAAAUAAAUCACUAAGAGGGACACUUUAUGCACCAUAACGUUUACAGCUUAUUGGCAUGAUUAUGAUUCACACGAUCUUUGUGUGAUGUCUGAUUUUCCUCUCUAGUCGGUCCUCUCACCUCACCAAUCUGUCAGUCCUUACAUUGGCUCCCUGUAUCCUAUGGGAGUAAAUUCAAAGUGCUAACCCAUACAUAUAAAGCACUGAACAAUUCUAGCCCCUCUUAGAUCUCUUCACAGAUCCGUAGGUAUGCCCCUUCUCGGUCCCUCUGCUCUGCCCGUGACCUUCUCCUGUCCACUGCUCGCACCUAUACAGCCAACUUGCAUUUGCAGGACUUCUCGCGGGUGGCUCCCUUCCUAUGGAAUAGCCUGCAGACUCUCCCCUAGUCUUUAAUCGUUUAAGAAGUACCUUAAAACCCAUCUCUUUAGGAAAUCUUAUGGCCUCCCAGAGUAACCUCUACCUGUCUCUUGCUCUCUCCUAAAGGGCAGCACUCUACUCUCUCCUCCAGCUCUGCUUCACUCCCACCUUAUGUGAUUGCCAUUUCCUGUCCUAAUGUGUCUUAUACCCCACCACCUAUAGACUGUAAGCUCGUUUGAGCAGGGUCCUCUUCAACAUAUCGUGCCUGUAAGUUUUCUUGAAAUUGUCCUAUUUAUAGUUAAAUCCCCCCUCUCAUAAUAUUGUAAAGUGCUAUGGAAUCUGUUGGUGCUAUAUAAAUGGAGAUACUAAUAAUGUCUGCCUUCCCUUUUUCAAACACUUCAAUAGAAACUAGGCAACAAAUGCCCAGCUCUUUGUCUGCACUUUAGAGAAUAUGAAACUUUGAGUCCCAGAUUAUCUACAAACCUGUUCAAACUGGGGGAGCAAUGAUGGGCUAAACCAAGCUUUGGACAAAUAACUUUUUUUUUUUCAUGCACACGUUUUGAUGAGGGGGUGAUAGAAACACCCCAAAGUAUCUUUGAACCAUAGCCAUUUCAAUAAACUAUAGUUAUGUUGCGGAGUGUUAAUUUUUUUUAAAAUCUAUUUUACAGCAGAGUAAUACAUAAACAGUGAUUUGAUAUUCCCUCUGUUCUUGUUUCUCUUGCCUCCACAGGAGCAGAUACUCAUAAAUGGCACAGAACAGAGCUAAGUGCAGAUAUGGAACUGUUGUUGAUGGGACGAGAGGAUGAAGAAGACGAGGAUUCCUAAUAGCUGAACUAGAUGGGAACGAACGUUUGUAAUAAGAAGCAAUCACCCACUUACUGUGAGGCAAAAGACAGAUUCAGAGAGCUGGACUCUCUCUGGUCUCCCAAGUCCAAAGGGUUUAUAGAACACGUGGAGAAGAUGCCAAUUCCUUCUACAAGUUACCUUAUGCUGUACAGUCAGGGGAAGUAUUUGCAUCACCAGAAGUGCAUGAUACAGAUAGCCGACAUGAGACAGUCUUAAGCUGACGUUAUCCUGUAUCAUUUUCCUGGAAGCUAGUUGCAAAUAUGUAUUUUAGUUAUAAUACAUUCCUGAUGUUGAUACUAUGGCAGUUCUGGAACUGUCUGUCAUUUUUAGAAGUGGAAGGAGAUUCAAAGAAAUGGUACAAUAAAAUUAUUUAGGCCUAUUUCAGAACUACAGAAAUUUAUAUAAUUUUUUGUUUUAGAUGUCUACUUGAGUAAUGAUUUUUUAUUUUUUUUGUGCACCUAUAUUAGAACUUGUCACCCAUUUCCCCAUGAGGAAUCUGUGCCUAAACCAUAACAAUCCAAUUAGGAGCACCAAACGCAGAACAUCUCAUCUGAUUUUUAAAUUUAUACAUAAACUCCAUAUGACCUGUUCACAUCUAUUUUUUUUAAAAUCUUUUAUUAUCCUAAAUGGAACAUGGAGCCGCUAUUACUAAUGAUCACUUGUUCAGGUGGUGGAGGGUAUUUAUUGCAGAAAAAUAUAUUUAUGAAAAAUCAAAUAAUCAAAAAACAUUAUUAUUUGUGGUGACAAGGGAUUGAAAAUACUUUGAAUUACACUUAAAGGAUCACUAUAGGCACCCAGACCACUUCAGUUUAAUGAAGUGGUCUGGAUGCCAGGUCCAUCUAGGAUUAACCCUGCCUGCUGUAAACAUCGCAGUUUCAGAGAAAUUGCUAUGUUUACACAUGGCUUAAUCCAGCUUCUAGUAGCUGUCUCAUUGACAGCUGCUAGAGGCGCUUCUCACUGUGAUUUUUCACAGUGAAAGGAUGCCAGCGUACAUAGGAAAGCAUUGAAACUGCUUUCCUAUGGACUGACUGAAUGCGCAUUUGGCUGAUGACGUCCAAAGGAGGAGGAGAGUUCCCAACGCCGAGGGAGUCUGGCGCUGGAGAAAGGUAAGAUUAUAAUCCCUUCCUACCCCUUCAGCCCGGCAGGAGGGGGGCCCUGAGGGUGGAGGGGACCUAUUAAUACUAUAGUGCCAGGAAACCGAGUUUGUUUUCCUGGCACUAUAGUGGUCCUUAAACUUACAAAUGAAGUAAAAGAAACAGAAUGAUUGCAUAUUUCUUGUGUACAUUAAACAAGGAAUAUGCAUUUAAAAAAAAAAAACAAAAAACAAUCAAAAUAUUUGAACCAUUUACAUAACACUCUAGAAAUGCUUGAAAGGUUAGAAAACUAAAAAAUCCACAAUCAAUUUAAAGAGGCAUAUUGGAAAAAGAAAAGGAAAUGAACACCGAAAUUAAAGGAAGAUGAGCAAAAUAAUAAAUACACCUAAGGUUCAAGAGUUCAGAAAGGCAUGAUGCUUGUAAAUGUUGCCCCCUGUACCUGCUUCAGUGUUUAUAGCACAGGGAGUGGAAUGCAUUGACACUUAUAGACGGCAGUAGUUCUACUUCGUGUCUAAGAAAGUCAGGCAUAGGAUAAAUACAUUAGACAAAGUAGCCUCAUGAUGAAUAGAUUGGAG